GGCGGCGUGCCUAAUACAUGCAAGUCGAGCGGACCGACGGGAGCUUGCUCCCUUAUGUCAGCGGCGGACGGGUGAGUAACACGUGGGUAACCUGCCUGUAAGACUGGGAUAACUCCGGGAAACCGGGGCUAAUACCGGAUGCUUGAUUGAACCGCAUGGUUCAAUUAUAAAAGGUGGCUUUUACCUACCACUUACAAAUGAACCCGCGGCGCAUUAGCUAGUUGGUGAGGUAACGGCUCACCAAGGCGACGAUGCGUAGCCGACCUGAGAGGGUGAUCGGCCACACUGGGACUGAGACACGGCCCAGACUCCUACGGGAGGCAGCAGUAGGGAAUCUUCCGCAAUGGACGAAAGUCUGACGGAGCAACGCCGCGUGAGUGAUGAAGGUUUUCGAAUCGUAAAACUCUGUUGUUAGGGAAAAACAAGAACCGUUCGAAUAGGGCGGUACCUUGACGGAACCUAACCAGAAAGCCACGGUUAACUACGUGCCAGCAGCCGCGGUAAUACGAAGGUGCCAAGCGUUGUCCGGAAUUAUUGGCCGAAAAGCGCGCGCAGGCGGUUUCUUAAGUCUAAUGUGAAACCCCCCGGUUCAACCGGGGAGGGUCAUUGGAAACUGGGGAACUUAAUGGC
rnacentral:rRNA from 1 species